rnacentral:lncRNA from 1 species
GUGAUGUUAGGAAGCACCUACCUUCCCUGGAGCCAUGGGCUCAGGUCUCAGCACAGCUGACUCGUGUUGGCUGAUGCUGCUUUGACCUCCACGUGCUCUGAGAGGGCUCAGGGCUGGACAACGAGGGGCAGCCCAGGCUCACCCCACGGACUGUCCCUGAGCAAGGCAUCCCCCUGUCCCUUGCACACUGGCACGCCCUGGUCAGCACCUGUGGGGCUGUGCUCUUGCCUUCCCCCAUCUCGCCGCUCCAUCACCUGGAGGUGAUAAGGGAGCAGAGCGUGGGCACUUCCUGGGCGUGGGCAGAUCUGUUGGGCUUGGUCUUUUCAUGCAGGUGCUAGAGGGGAGAUUCUUGUCUUCUUUGGAGCAUGGAGUAGCUGGAGGCACAAACCAACCACUUGUGUGGGGAAGAGUGGGGGAUGAUCUUUCACACAGGCCCUUCAGAUGGGAUGUCCUCUUGCUGUGGAAACAUGUCACAAAUCACUUGUUUGCUGGAGAGCACAGAAUCAUAUCACAAAAUCCUCUGGGUAACAAAGCCUUGCAGCUCCAUCUGAAGCAGGAAAAAUGAGGAGGUUACAGGAGGACACAGCAGAGCCAAAGCAGGUCACUGGAUGAGUCAUUCACACUCAGGUAUUCACAGCUACCAUUUCCUGGUUCCCAUCACCAGACAACACUUGUCUUAGCACAUUAUUCCCAGGUUUCUAAGAUUUUAUGUUAAAAGCCGGAGUGCAGGCUUUGGAUGAUCACAGACCAGCAAUCGUGCUCUCCAAGACAGAGAUUCACACAAUCACCCAGGAAACUCCACUGGACAACUUCCACCUGCAUGGCCUUUCCUUGGUAUCCAUCUCAGCCUGACAUGACAUGAUGUUAAAUGAGAUCAGGAUAACAGCAGCCAUGGGAGGUCAAGAAAUU